rnacentral:lncRNA from 1 species
UUCAAAUUUUUUCUCAUAAAUUUUUCUCUAUUUUUAAAUCUUUUUCUCAUCAUCUGAAUUUUUUCUGGAUGGGACGACCCAUGUAGGACGUCCCAAUUGAUCGGACAAACGGAUUUUAUGUGAACCGAUCCAUUCAAACUCUUCUUUUAAAAGCUAAGUAGGGCGACUCAAUUACUAUGCUUCUUCCUCUUCUUCUUGUUUCAAACCAAAAACUCUUCUUCUAACUCUCCACCGGCCAUAAAUCCAUCCCAUUAACUAUCUAAAAUCUUGGAUCUCCAUCUCAAAUCCUAGAGCAAACUCUCUCUCUUGGCAUACCCUCUUGCUCUCCAUCAAAAUCUCAAGCCCUAACUUGCAAAAUCCAUAACAAUCAGCCCGAAACCCUCUUCUCCUCUUCAUUUCUAUCCAUCUCUCAUGCCUCUCUACCCCC